GUGAAUUUAUGGGCUGCUCUCCUCCAACAUCAACCCACCCGAGGGCAUACCAGCAAGCAGCCCUACUGCAACCCAGUACAAGGGCUCCUCAGCACACCAGCUCGGUUUCUGCCUUUCAGCUUCUGCUGCUGGGAGCCCCACAGCACUGCUGGGUGCCAGCAAAGUCAGACAAAGCAAACCCCAUCCCUGUGUGUGCGGGACUGAAGGGAUGAGCCUUGGGGGCAGUGGAGGCCGACUUCAUGUUGGCAGAAGGCAAUUAUGCCUUAAAGUGGAUUUAUUUCUUUAUGCAGAUCUCCUGAAAUCGACUUGCCUGGAAUUGUUUUACUGUCUGCUCCCUGUUCCCCUGGUAAAGGCCCACCUGCAAGAAAAGCCAGAACUUCCAAUUGUAGAGAAACUUCUCUACUUGAGCCCGCGUGACGCCGCACAUCUGCGCCUCAGCAUGCCUUUCUGCAGACCAGUGAGUCAUUAGCGGAGAUAAGAUGAGUCCCAGAUGUUAAAGAAACGUGGUAGCACUCCAUGGAGUGCAACUGGGACAAAUAAAAGCCAAAGCUUCAACGUUU
rnacentral:lncRNA from 1 species